rnacentral:rRNA from 1 species
AUGGUGGCCGCUGCCGGACACGCCGAAGUUCCCCCGCUUUCCAAGGGGAAGAAGGACCCCGGCUGUCCGGAAACCUCGCCGGUCUUGCCUGCCACGGCGAUUGCAGAUUGGUCCUGUCUCCCGUACGACCUCGUCCGCCGCAUUGCCGAGUCCUUCCUCGCCACCAACGGCGUCGAUUGGUACAUGGACUUACGCGCCGUGUUCCACGACUGGCGCUCCGCCACCGAUGACCCCAGGAACAACACCUCGGAUUGCCGGUUUCGCCCGCGCGGGUGGAUCAUCCUUGAUGAGGCCCUCGAGAGCGACACGUGCCGCCUGUUGCUCAACACCGCCACCGGGCGAUUAAUCCACAAGGAGCUCCUGCCGCUCAGCGACUACUAUGUGGUCGCGGCCACUCUUGAGGGCUUCUUUAUCCUGGCCGACAAGAGCCCUCCUCACGCCGCACGCAUCUUCAGCCCUCUCACCGGCGCCAUGAUCCAUUUCAAGGUGCCCAUGCCGCCCGAGGGGGAGGUCACCGCUGCAGUCUGCUUUAUCAUGGAUUUGCCCAUUCUUAAUUUAUUUUGUGGCUCGUCUCACAAGCAUUACAUGGCAUAUACUGAAAGUGAAUGUUUCAUCGCCCACAACUAUGAGGACGCAAUUUAUAGUUUCUUGCAGAGGGUGAUCAAAGGUGGGUUUGAUGGCGGUUGGACGGAAUCAACCAUGUUAGAUGAGUUGGUCUGCAAGAUGGGCAAUUUGAUGAUGUUGCUUCGUGUUGAUCCUGAUAAGUUUUUCUCCGAUGAUCUUCAUGUGACUGAACAUGACAACAAUGUUUGUUGUUUCCUAGUCGAGUUUGGUGGACAAGUGCUGAUUAUCAUGAAGCGACAAUUGGUCACUAUGGUUUGCAAGUUUGAAGCCAACAGUGACAAGGUCGUGCCUUUGACGAGCAUCAGCAACCAUGCUAUCUUUAUCGGUCAUCAGAGGUGCCUCAUAGUCGAUGCGGAUAAGUUCCCAGGCAUUGAGGCAAACUGUAUCUACUAUAUUGAACACCUGGGUUCGUCAGCACGCAUCUGUAUGCGCAACCUCUAG